rnacentral:tRNA from 1 species
GCCCUCGUAGCUCAGUGGACAGAGCAGCGGACUUCUAAUCCGGAGGCCGGAGGUUCGAAUCCUCCCGAGGGCGCCA